rnacentral:RNase_P_RNA from 1 species
CGGGUCGGGCAAUCGCGUGGUAUGUCGCCGAAAGGUAUUACCAUGAGGAAAGUCCGGGCUUCACAGGGCGGGAUAACGGAUAACGUCCGCCGAGGGAAACCUCCGGGAUAGUGCAACAGAGAUAUACCGCCGUGAGGUGACACCGUCGCCCCGCGGUAAGGGUGGAAAGGCGAGGUAAGAGCUCACCCGGUCCCGUGGCAACACGGGAGCGCUGUAAACCCUAUCCGAAGCAACACCUUACGGGAUCCGCCAUUUUCCGGCGGCUGCUUGCCCGGCAGAACCCGUUUGUCUGUGGCAGCGGCAUUUUGCCGCGAGCGCGUCGGUAACGGCGCGUCGAGAUAGAUGAUUGCCGAUUACAGAACCCGGCUUACAGACCCGAUC